rnacentral:rRNA from 1 species
GACGAACGCUGGCGGCGUGCCUAAUACAUGCAAGUCGAGCGAAUGGAUGGGAGCUUGCUCCCUGAAGUUAGCGGCGGACGGGUGAGUAACACGUGGGCAACCUGCCUGUAAGACUGGGAUAACUCCGGGAAACCGGAGCUAAUACCGGAUACAUUCUUUCUUCGCCUGAAGAAAGAUGGAAAGAUGGUUUCGGCUAUCACUUACAGAUGGGCCCGCGGCGCAUUAGCUAGUUGGUGAGGUAACGGCUCACCAAGGCAACGAUGCGUAGCCGACCUGAGAGGGUGAUCGGCCACACUGGGACUGAGACACGGCCCAGACUCCUACGGGAGGCAGCAGUAGGGAAUCUUCCGCAAUGGACGAAAGUCUGACGGAGCAACGCCGCGUGAGCGAAGAAGGCCUUCGGGUCGUAAAGCUCUGCUGUUAGGGAAGAACAAGUACCAGAGUAACUGCUGGUACCUUGACGGUACCUAACCAGAAAGCCACGGCUAACUACGUGCCAGCCGCCGCUGUAA